CUCACAGAAAUCGGCAUUACUUUUGUAAUGGCUAGCAUCGCAAUUUGGACACUUUUCCAAUACCGUGUACUCACCGCUGUACAAUAUGCAGUGGUCCCUGCACAUGUGUAUUCUUUGCACACGCAUCUUCAAUGGAUUGAUAAUCUUCUUUGCUUCGUAUGUGUUUUUUGGCACAAAGUUAGGCUUCGGGAGCAAAUUGCCAGAAGAGUAAGGAGAUCAUUAAAACUAUUGUCUGACCAGCUGAAUUUAGCCUUCAAGAUCAGAAGAUGAAGGACAAAACGCAGCACUGUCCACUCCUUCCCACAUCCCACAUACAUAUGGUCCUUUGCUGCCAUCUUGAGUGUCUUGAAAUUCUCUAACCCUUUAGCACUCCCUAGCAACACUUCCGGUUCAAUGUGGCGCAACAUGUCCUCCAUAUCAACAUCACGUUCCCCGUCCACCUAUGGUUCCACACGCGUAUCUGUUUGAUCACCAUUUUGAUCUCCACGGUCGAAAUCAUCAUCCAUCAUAACAUGAUCAUUUUCAUUUAAAUCAUCACCACCCACUUCAUCAUAGCCAGUAUCGAUGUCUGUGUUGUUGGAAGUAACUCCUGCCUCACCAUGGUGGGACCAAAUUGUGUAUCCAUCCACAAACCCUCGCUUAUCAAAUGCCUCAUGAUGACAUCAGUAUCCU
rnacentral:lncRNA from 1 species